GGAAGGGGAGGUUUCUAUUGCUGACUCCAUUCCAUUCAGGCACACUGCUCUGCCAUUGAAAAAGGUUGUGUGGCGGAGAUUCUUCAAGCAAGUCAAAAAUUAAAAUCAAGGGGGAAGCAUACCGCAAGUUGGAUGGGACGUGGAUACUGUAAAUUCAUGAAUCAAGAUAUAGACAUUAUCUUUAAGGCAUGUUUUAAUUGUUGAAUGAAUUCAAUUCCAUGUGAUUUGGAACAAGAGCCUGUAAGUCAGGUAUGUAAUUACGCGUCUAUUUUCACUCUUUACAUAUUCUAUACA